rnacentral:rRNA from 1 species
UACGGGGGGAGCAAGCGUUGUUCGGAUUUACUGGGCGUAAAGGGCGCGUAGGCGGCCACCGCAAGUCGACUGUGAAAUCUCCGGGCUUAACCCGGAAAGGUCAGCCGAUACUGCGGGGCUAGAGUGCAGAAGGGGCAACUGGAAUUCUCGGUGUAGCGGUGAGAUGCGUAGAGAUCCGGAGGAACACCAGUGGCGAAGGCGACACGCUGGGCCGUACCUGACACUGAUGCGCGACAGCAUGGGGAGCAAACAGG